GUGUGCGUGUGUGUGUGUAAGUGUGGUUGAAAAAAGAUAACAAGGGUGAUCUGUUUUUUCCUCUUUGUUUUUGUUUGUUUUAUGCUUAUUUUGUUGUCUCCCUGUGAAUAGAAAGUCUUAUGUCAUAUGUCUUCAAAUCUUGGAGUCACGCAGUCUGGAAGCUGCAUUUCUCAAGACAGGGAAGAUUCCAUUCGGGGAUAUGGCCAUGAUGUGAAUACUCCUUGAUUAUUUUGAACUUGUCUGCUUCACAAUCCAGUCAGAGAAGGCACUACUCUAUUGGCUUGCAGUGAUUGGUCCAAAGAUAAACUAAGCUGCUGACACAUGAAAAAUGAAGGCAAAACUUUGUGUACUACCCACGAGAUUACUAGGAGACAUUAAUACUCUGAUGUCCAAUAGUAAAGGUCAGUGGAUAGCUGUGACACGUCAAUCUGACAGGACAUCUUAUCACCUUGAUUUGAUUUAACAACACAUGGAUUGUUUAUAAACAAAGGUGACUCUGGAGGACCCCUGUUUAGUCCGGAUGCUAGAGAUAUCUGGUACCUUGCCGGCAUAGUGAGCUGGGGAGAUGAGUGUGGGCAGCCCAAUAAGCCCGGUGUUUAUACCAGAGUGACUGCUCUCUCGGACUGGAUUUCUUCCAGAAGUGAUACCUAAGAGAGAAAAACCUAGUAGAACAGAACACUUUUUGUGUGCAUAGGCCAUUUCUAGAGACCCAGAACGGCAGAAGCAGCUUCGCAGGUCGCUUGGAUCAGACGAUCUGACUAAACCUGUCUGCGGGAAGCAUGGGUUUCCGUCCUAGCGCUGCUCCACACCAGGAUCCUGCUUCUGCCACGUGGACUUUGUCCCAACUUGGUGACAUGAAUUUCUCAUGCUCUAUGCAAUUUCAAGUGAUUCCUUCCUUCAUUUCCCCAGCUUCUCUCAUGUCAGUAAAUUCCACCCUCAAGGCUCAGGACAAAGGGUGAAAAGAAAUAUAAAAGGGAAGUACAUUUUUAUAUAUAGAAAAGUGUUGGUCUUUUUUUUCUUUAACGGAAUGAGGAAAAUGAUCAUAGGUCAACUAAAAUACCAAACACUUCAUGAUGGAGAAAGAAGGGAAACCUAAGUUAAGGAAAUACAGAGAAACCAAGAGAUAGCUUUAUUUUCAUUUCUAACAAACAACUACAGAGAUAAACAUGGGGAAGAUUCUGUCUUCUUGUGGCCUACAAUAAUUAUACAAAUUCUAUAUAAUGUACUUGUUCUAAAUUAAAACAAAUAUAUUUAUUUGACAAUGCACUGCAGAGGAUAACAAUGUAAAAUAAUAAAAAAUAAAUCAUCCAUUUGCUUGACUUUAUAUGAUAAUCCAUGAAGAAGGAGGAGAUGGGGAAAAUAUCACUAAACAAUUUAUUGCAAAUUCUUCUAAAAUCUGAGGCUAGAAGGAAAAUCCAUUUAAGAAUAACCAGCAUACCUUAUGUUAAGAUUUUUGUGUGGUGGAAUGGGAGGGAAUAAAAAGACAAUCAGUCCAAAGUAUUGAAUGAAAUGGGAUUGUCACUAAGUGCUUGUGAAUGUGCAUUUAAAGCUUUUCCACAGCACAAAAUCUUGAAGGGGAUUAAGGUCUAAGUAUUAUUGUGUAGUUGUAGGCAUGCAAAUGAAGUUAGAGGUCAGACCUCUGUUUUGAAAUGAUUGCAGAUCUACCCCUGCAGCCGCUGGCUGCGCCUUCAGUGGGUGCUUGUACUGUGGGCCUCAUAGAUUCUCUGGGCUCAAGUGGGAGUCUAUCACGGGGAAUUUCUCUUGGAAGUUGCCACCCUGCUACCUCCAGUAUGGCACUAAAUUGCUAAUUGCUUAAACAUAAAACUGAAGAGUAAAAGCCUAAUAUCAACCACCUGCCUAAUUUUAGUUUUGCAAAUUACUACUGAGUCCUUAGAAACUCGUCAUGCAAGUGGGCUAGGACAUUAUGGAGUUAGAACCUGUGUCAUGACAUAACUCCGUGUUUAUGGUUAUAUUUCACUGAGUUUUUCCUAUCUCCUUUCCUCAUAACAGCUAUUCAGAAAAGCUCUGUGUUGUACCAUAGCAUCUUUGAAAAAACACAUUAAUAGAAAAAGUUGACCUUAUUGACCCAAGUAACAUUGAUACAUGAACUGAUAAAAUUUAGGCAUUUGGCUGACAGAAAGGUUAUGAAAACUGACAUUAGUUGACAGUGUUCUUAUUUUGCAUAAAUGAUUUUUCUUCUCUUUAAUGAAAUGUUUUGGAAAUAAAGCAAAAUCGAGGCAAGUAGUGAAUUUCAAGUGAAAAUUUAAGAACGUAUCAAACUAAAUUAAAUGACCGCCAUUAAAAAUGCAUUCCCCCUGAUUUCAGUGUAUUCUGCAGUUAGACCUUUAGGUGGCACCCGCAAGCUAUAGCUUGCAGAAGACAGGGAAGAAAGACCUUUAGCUCUUCAAGUCAUAAGCACUGUAGUUGAAAUUUUAUAUUAGGGUCUUGUGAAACCCAAAGAAUAGAGUGCAUCUUUGGAAAGGCAUUUAAAAGUGAAACCAUGUUAAUUGGCAUCGUGAUUAGUAUUUUCCAGAUUCCUGGAGGUGAGUUUCCAAACUAACAUAAAAUUUAUAACAUAAGAUAUAAAGAAUUUUCUCUGCAAAAAAAUU